rfam:Capsicum annuum cultivar Zunla-1 chromosome 11, whole genome shotgun sequence
UCCUCAUGAUUUGGGCAUUGGGCUAGCUUUCCAGUAAACCUCUCCCAUACUUCAAACAAUGAUUCUCUAUUUAAUUGCCGAAAGUUUACAAUCUCAUCUCUUUUUUGAAGUA